GUUGAUUCCAAUUGUCUGAUGCUGAAGAUGUAAGGCCAAAACCCAUCAUCUGUAAGGUGGAAUCGAUCAACAAGCUGUCACUUCCUCUGGCUGAUUCACUCUUGGGUGACUUCUGUGCAUCAGCAAAACCCAGAUUCCUGCAUCAUUAUGAGCUGCCACGGAACAAGGAGAAGAAGCAAUCGGUGAUGAAUCAAUAGAACUACUCCACCAGUUUUCACCACAAAUUCUAGCUUGAAACUCUUCAGCCAUGGCAGCCUUUAUUUCUUCUUGUCAAAUUGCAGACUUGUUUGUACCUGUGAGCUAUGCUAGCUUCUUGAGUUACGUGCUGAAUAUAAAAAAUAUAUGACUCAGAAAUAUAGGUUUAUUUGCAAAAGAGAGGGUUGGAUGUUAAGUGAUUUUAUAUAUGAAACGGUUAGAAGGGUACGAACAAUGGUGAUUACCGGAAUCCGGUUGACAUUACAACGGGAUGAUUGGACAAAUGAGAGAGAGAAUUUUGAAUCAUAUUCUAAUUCUUCUUUUCUUAAAAACAAAUACAUAUAUAUAUGUAUGUACUUGGCUGUGAAUUUGUUUCUUUCAUAA